rnacentral:rRNA from 1 species
GACGAACCGUGCGAACGUUAUUCGGAAUCACUGGGCUUAAAGUGCGUGUAGGCGGGACGGCACGUCGGUCGCUGAAAUCCCCCGGCUCAACCGGGGAACGGGCGCCGAUACGACCGCCCUGGAGGGGCGUAGGGGGACCUGGAACUUCCGGUGGAGCGGUGAAAUGCGUUGAGAUCGGAAGGAACGCCCGUGGCGAAAGCGAGGUCCUGGACGCUUACUGACGCUGAGACGCGAAAGCCAGGGGAGCGAACGGG